rnacentral:rRNA from 1 species
GACGAACGCUGGCGGCGUGCUUAACACAUGCAAGUCGCACGAAGUGGCGAACGGGUGAGUAAUACGUGAGUAACCUGCCCUCCUUUUUUGGAUCAGCCUUGGAAACGGGGUCUAAUACCGAAUAAAGGGGGAUGGGCUCGCGGCCUAACAGCUUGUUGGUGGGGUGAUGGCCUACUAAGGCGGUGACGGGUAGCCGGGCGUAGAGGGUGACCGGCAGCAGUGGGACUGAGAUACGGCCCAGACUCCUACCGGAGGGAGCAGUGGGGGAGAUUGCUCAAUGGUCGAAGGCCGGAUGCAGCGACGACGCGUGGGGGAUGAAGGCUUUGGGGUUGGAAACCUCUUUCGCUAGCGAACGUGUAGGUGGAGAAGAAGCGCCGGCUAACUACGUACCAGCAGCCGCGGUAAUAC